rnacentral:rRNA from 1 species
GGCGAACGCUGGCGGCAGGCCUAACACAUGCAAGUCGAACGAACUCUUCGGUGUUAGUGGCGGACGGGUGAGUAACACGAGGGAACGUGCCUACAGGUUCGGAAUAACUCAGGGAAACGUGUGCUAAUACCGAAUGUGCCCUUCGGGGGAAAGAUUUAUCGCCUUUAGAGCGGCCCGCGUCUGAUUAGCUAGUUGGUGAGGUAAUGGCUCACCAAGGCUACGAUCAGUAGCUGGGCUGAGAGGUUGACCAGCCACAUUGGGACUGAGACUCUGCCCAAACUCCUACGGGAGGCAGAAGGGGGGAAUCUUGCGCAAUGGAAGUACGCCGGACGCAGCCAGGCCGCGUGGAUGAUGUACGUUUUAGGGUUGUAACAUUCUUUCACGGGGGAAGAUAAGGACUGUUGCCCGAGAAGAAGCCCCGUCUAGAUUCAUGCCAGCACUCGCCGUAAAAU